GUUGAGACAGGGGUCUAUAGUGUGGUGGUGGGCCAGGUUGAGACAGGGGUCUAUAGUGUUGGUGGUGGGUCAGGUUGAGACAGGGGUCUAUAGAGUUGGUGGAGGGUCAGGUUGAGACAGGGGUCUAUAGUGUGGUGGUGGGUCAGGUUGAGACAGGGGUCUAUAGUGUUGGUGGUGGGUCAGGUUGAGACAGGGGUCUAUAGUGUGGUGGUGGGUCAGGUUGAGACAGGGGUCUAUAGUGUGGUGGUGGGUCAGGUUAAGACAGGGGUCUAUAGUGUGGUGGUGGUGGGUCAGAUUGAGACAGGGGUCUAUAGUGUUGGUGGUGGGUCAGGUUCAGACAGGGGUCUAUAGUGUGUUGGUGGGUCAGGUUGAGACAGGGGUCUAUAGUGUGGUUUUGGGUCAGGUUGAGACAGGGGUCUAUAGUGUGGUGGUGGGUCAGGUUGAGACAGGGGUCUAUAGUGUGGUGGUGGGUCAGGUUAAGACAGGGGUCUAUAGUGUGGUGGUGGGUCAGGUUGAUACAGGGCUCUAUAGUGUUGGUGGUGGGUCAGGUUGAGACAGGGGUCUAUAGUGUUGGUGGUGGGUCCGGUUGAGACAGGGGUAUAUAGUGUUGGUGGUGGGUCAGGUUGAGACAGGGGUCUAUAUUGUGGUGGUGGG
rnacentral:lncRNA from 1 species